GCAGGUUUAGAAAGCUCUCUCUAAGGAAUGGUAGAUGAUGGACUGGAGUUAGGCACGAAAGGCAGUUGGACCAGUGAAUAGAGUUUGCCGCAGAGCAGGUACAAGAUCUGCAUUUGGUCGUUAACCCGGGAAACGAAGAGGGGCGGGGGGGAGAGAUGUUUCCAAAGCAGGAUGCCCUUUGUCCCUUAAGCAACAGGACCCUGUUGUCUCUAAACUUCAGGAUAGAAAUGACUCUGGGGAGCUCCCCCAUGCCUCCCUCUGGGUUACAGACACCUCUGCUGGCGCCCUCUCUCGUCCCCGUCGCGAGCCCCCGCCUCCUUUCUCAGGAAGCUUGGGUCUCCCUGGGAGCGUGUCUGCCCUUGGGGGAGGCCUGUCGACUCGGCGCCCUGCAGCCCGACGGACAUUCGGGGCGGAUCGAAGAGGGGCUCGGCGCCCCCUGCGUGCACCUGUGCUAGCCCGGGCAGGAGGGAGCGCCUCCGCGGAGGAGUCCAGGAAGAGGGGGCAGGGAGAGGCGCUCCAGAACCUCGGUCCCGGGCGCCCUGGUCGGCCGCGGUGGAGCUGCAGCUUCCAACAGAAUCCCUGUGGACACCUGCACAACCCACUGGAAAAACGCCAGUGGAGAAAGGAGUGAGCUGCCAAGUGUUUUGAGCAGGGUCAGCACUGCGUGAUCAGAGCUCAGCGCACAGAGGAGCUUGUCUGCCUCUGAAAAAGGAAGAAAAAUUUUAAAUGAGCCUGCUGAUGGGCCAA
ensembl:lncRNA